GACGAGGGGCCCAAGCGUUAAUCGGAAUCACUGGGCUUAAAGGGUGCGUAGGCGGACGCGCAAGUAUCUUGUGAAAUCCCCCGGCUCAACCGGGGAAUUGCGGGGUAAACUGCGUGUCUUGAGGCAGAUAGAGGCCAUCGGAACGCUAGGUGGAGCGGUGAAAUGCGUAGAGAUCUAGCGGAACGCCAAAGGUGAAGACAGGUGGCUGGGUCUGUCCUGACGCUCAGGCACGAAAGCGUGGGGAGCAAACGGG
rnacentral:misc_RNA from 1 species